UACGUAGGGUGCAAGCGUUAAUCGGAAUUACUGGGCGUAAAGCGCGCGCAGGCGGUCCUUUAAGUCUGAUGUGAAAGCCCACGGCUCAACCGUGGAGGGUCAUUGGAAACUGGGGGACUUGAGUGCAGAAGAGGAAAGCGGAAUUCCACGUGUAGCGGUGAAAUGCGUAGAGAUGUGGAGGAACACCAGUGGCGAAGGCGGCUUUCUGGUCUGUAACUGACGCUGAGGCGCGAAAGCGUGGGGAGCAAACAGG
rnacentral:rRNA from 1 species